GACCUAAUGGUGAAUGGUUCACGUCCGUGCUUCAUAGAAUAGUAAAGUGCUGCAGGCGGAAGAUCCCUGUUCGAUUCGGGGUUGGGUUA